rnacentral:lncRNA from 1 species
GGUCUAAAUCAAGCAGUGCUUAGAGCCUCCCACAACGGGCCUUCAACCAUAUUUGGAAGAAAAGAAGGAAUCCAGAGAGGAAAUGGUUACCUGUGCUUACAGGCGGUCUGCACCACAAGCGCUGACUCAGCAAGAGGGAACUCUGCGUACCCCUGUCCCGAAAGCCCCUUGAGCAAGGACGUCAGAAAGAGACUAAAAUGGAGGGACAGCCUCCGAGGGCCCUGGAGCAGGGUAACAUGAGAUCUAUGACUAUCUAGUCAUUCGCUACCUGCAUUUGAAAGCAUAUGCAUUAUUAUGGUUGUCACCAUUUAUAGUAGUAUACUUAGACGUUGUCCAUCGAAUCUGGACGCAUACUCAAUUUGAAACUAAAUAAAACCUAAAGGAACAUAGGUGACCAUGAGGGACUCCAGGGAACAUUCUCUGGGACGGAACUCUGUGAAGAGUGGAGAAGAGGCCUCUAGGAUCAAGCUAUUCAUCAUGGAUACAGCCUCAGAUCCAGGACCUCCACCCUCUGGUGCAGUAUUUCCAGGAUAUUAGUGGGGGACUGUGGACCAUUCAAGCCUUGGAACAAGUCUAGCCCAACCACUGUCUAACUUUGCUGCUGACGGAAGCCUGACCCAGCCCUGACCUCGUAGACCUUAUAGGAAUAUGUUCUCAGCUCACUGCUCCACAUUUCUGGCCCUGUGACCUCACCAAACAAACACCUGCCUAUCUCAGAGCAUUGUAUCUAUUCAUGUUGAUUUCUGUCUCUUCCUUAUUAGUCUCUUGCACAAACCAUGAACUGGAUGAAAGCAAGAACGGGAUCGUUUGGGUUCUGUGGGUGACAUCAGGACUUGACUGUGGACUUGACUUGCAUCUGGCACAGCCUGCUCGCCAGCUCCUAUUCCCUUGCCCACCUGUUCUUUGACCUUGAACGCCCAACCCCUUUUUCUUGGCAUCAGUAUCGUCCUCUCUAAGAGCAGAGAUUAGGAUUAAUAAAUCU